AGAGUUUGAUCCUGGCUCAGGAUGAACGCUGGCGGCGCGCCUAACACAUGCAAGUCGAACGGCACCCCCCUCCGGGGGGAAGCGAGUGGCGAACGGCUGAGUAACACGUGGAGAACCCGCCCCCUCCCCCGGGAUAGCCCGGGGAAACCCGGGGUAAUACCGGAUGGGCCGGGGUCCCGCAUGGGGCCCCGGUGAAAGCCCAGGCGGGAGGGGAUGGCUCCGCGUCCCAUCAGGUAGACGGCGGGGCGACGGCCCACCGUGCCGACGACGGGUAGCCGGGUUGAGAGACCGACCGGCCAGAUUGGGACUGAGACACGGCCCAGACUCCUACGGGAGGCAGCAGUGGGGAAUCUUGCGCAAUGGGGGCAACCCUGACGCAGCGACGCCGCGUGCGGGAAGGAGGCCUUCGGGUCGUAAACCGCUUUCAGCAGGGAAGAGGAUGACGGUACCUGCAGAAGAAGCCCCGGCUAACUACGUGCCAGCAGCCGCGGUAAUACGUAGGGGGCGAGCGUUAUCCGGAUUUAUUGGGCGUAAAGCGCGCGCAGGCGGCCUUUCAAGCGGCACCGUCGAAGCCGGAGGCUCAACCUCCGGAAGCGGACCGAACUGGGAGGCUCGAGACAGGUAGAGGAAGGCGGAAUUCCCGGUGUAGCGGUGGAAUGCGCAGAUAUCGGGAAGAACACCGACGGCGAAGGCAACCUUCUGGGCCUGUUCUGACGCUCAGGCGCGAAAGCUGGCGGAGCAAACAGGAUUAGAUACCCUGGUAGUCCCAGCCGUAAACGAUGGGUGCUAGGUGUGGGGAGCAUCGCUUUCCGUGCCGCAGCUAACGCAUUAAGCACCCCGCCUGGGGAGUACGGCCGCAAGGCUAAAACUCAAAAGGAAUUGACGGGGGCCCGCACAAGCGGCGGAGCAUGUGGCUUAAUUCGAAGCAACGCGAAGAACCUUACCAGGGCUUGACAUGUAAGUGAAGCGGCGGAAACGUCGUGGCCGAGAGGAGCUUACACAGGUGGUGCAUGGCUGUCGUCAGCUCGUGUCGUGAGAUGUUGGGUUAAGUCCCGCAACGAGCGCAACCCUUGCCGUAUGUUGCCAGCGAGUAGAGUCGGGGACUCAUACGGGACUGCCGGCGUCAAGCCGGAGGAAGGCGGGGACGACGUCAAGUCAUCAUGCCCCUUACGUCUUGGGCUACACACGUACUACAAUGGGAUGAACAGAGGGAAGCGAAGCUGCGAGGCGGAGCGGAACCCUAAAAGCAUCUCUCAGUUCGGAUUGCAGGCUGAAACCCGCCUGCAUGAAGUCGGAAUCGCUAGUAAUCGCAGGUCAGCAUACUGCGGUGAAUACGUUCCCGGGCCUUGUACACACCGCCCGUCACACCACGAAAGUCAUUCACACCCGAAGCCGGCUAAGGGCCGAAAGGAACCGACCGUCGAAGGUGGGGGCGAUGAUUGGGGUGAAGUCGUAACAAGGUAACCGUAA
rnacentral:rRNA from 1 species